rnacentral:lncRNA from 1 species
UAUGCCACCCAAUAAGAUAUAAUGGCAUUAUAUUAGCAUUUAUGAUAUAGGAUUAGAUUUUUGUUUUGUUCUAAAAAUAUUAUUAGGAUGUCAGGUGAAAAUUGAGAAGGGGAUCUGAGUGAAGAAUAUGGAAAUUUUCAGUACUGAUUUUGCAACUUUAUAUAAAUUCUAUCUUACCUCUUAUUUUUAUUUUUAGGCACAAUGACUGUAAAGUUGUAUCACCUGCAUUAAGUGCAGCUGGUAAUACUGUAACUGGUGAUGAUAUUCAAACACAGGUACUUGGUAACCUCGGGCUGUAUUAAACCACUUUGUGACCUUUUGACUGUCACGGACUGCAGAUGGAGAGAGGCUGAUUGGGGCUGGUCCGCGGCAUUGGAGAACAAGAAUCUAAGCAGAAUGGAGUGGGUGUCAAUCCAUACUGUGCUCUCAUUGAAGAAUCAUAUGGUAAGCAAGUAGUUGGAAGUUUGUAACUGUAGUUACUUCUUAAUUAUCUGCCCUAGGUGGCCUCUCCCCAAUAUGCACCUCUACCUUUUCCCAUUUUAUAAGUUGUUUUCAUAAUUAUAAAAGCUAGUCCCUAAUCUCCUAUACUCACAAUUCUUACUGAAUAAGAUGUAAGUGUGAAGUCAUUGAUUUGUGCAAAAAAUAAAUUUAAAGAAGUGUCCUAGUCUUUGUGGAGUGAACGGAUGCUAUUGGUUUGGUAUUGUCAUAUAGUAUACCCGGCAGCUCUAAUUAAUAAUUUGUUUCUUUUUUGUGUUCUUUCUGUGAUAGGCUUGGAUAAAAUAGUUUCUGCAAAGUCGUGAAAACCAGAAAAUUUACCAGAAGGCAUUUGAUCUAAAUGAACAAUGUUUCGGUGUGGAAGAUGAUGAUCCCGGUAUUGCACCUCAGGUGGAUGAAAACCAACAACAGUUUGUAUUUCAGCAGCACGAGGCACCAAUAGAAGUGUUUCAACUCUAACAGGUGGUGGGGGAAAUGACUGACAGAAAUGAGCAACUUCUGAUAGCUCUUCAACAUGACCAGUACUGGUAGAAAGGGUUUUAUACAAUACAGGAAAGAGAAGAUUGCAUGCAUUUUUUAAAAACAAAUAUAAAGCAAACGUUUCCAUACCAAUGCACUGUUUCUGUAUAGAUUUUCUGUUUGUUGUUUUGGUUAUUUGUUUUGAUGUUUGAUAGCUGUUUAUUUGUCUUCAGUUGUUUGGAUUUUUGUAUCUAUUUGUGACUAUACAUUAUGCAAAUAUUUCAUUCAAGCUUGAAAGGGAGAACUUGGUGAAUGUUACGUGAAUGAUUCUGAACUUUUCAGGUGUUCUUGAAGACUGCAUAAUAGCAGUGCUGUGAAUAUUGAUAAUUGCAUUUUUGUCAAUAAGACUUGACAAUGCCCAAUCUUUA